UACGGAGGGAGCUAGCGUUAUUCGGAAUUACUGGGCGUAAAGCGCACGUAGGCGGCUUUGUAAGUUAGAGGUGAAAGCCUGGAGCUCAACUCCAGAAUUGCCUUUAAGACUGCAUCGCUUGAAUCCAGGAGAGGUGAGUGGAAUUCCGAGUGUAGAGGUGAAAUUCGUAGAUAUUCGGAAGAACACCAGUGGCGAAGGCGGCUCACUGGAGCUGGUAUUGACGCUGAGGUGCGAAAGCGUGGGGAGCAACAGG
rnacentral:rRNA from 1 species